rnacentral:misc_RNA from 1 species
GACUUUUUUAUAGUGGCUCAGAGGACACUUGGUAGCAGAGUUUGGUUGCCCUUCGGCAGGCGCCUUGCGGCGAAGCCCCCCCGGGGGCCGCCUGCCGAAGGAACAUAACAGGUAGGUUCACAGUGGGUUUGGGAGUUUUGCAACUCUGUAAUGAUCCCUCCGCUGGUUCACCAACGGAGACCUUGUUACGACUUUUACUUCCUCUAAAUGACCAAGA